rnacentral:rRNA from 1 species
AUGUACAUGCCUACAACAUAACGUUAAUGCAUCGGAUCUCAUUAGAACUCUGCAAUUAAGCACACUUAGGCUAGAGUAGUACUAAGAUGAGUGACUACCUGAGAAGUGCUAGUGUUUUACAUU